rnacentral:rRNA from 1 species
GUGAAAUGCGCAGAUAUCAGGAGGAACACCGGUGGCGAAGGCGGUGUCCUGGGCCGGUCCUGACGCUGAGGAGCGAAAGCUGGGGGAGCGAACAGGAUUAGAUACCCUGGUAGUCCCAGCCGUAAACGAUGGGUGCUAGGUGUGGGAGGCUAUCGACGCUUUCCGUGCCGCAGCUAACGCAUUAAGCACCCCGCCUGGGGAGUACGGCCGCAAGGCUAAAACUCAAAGGAAUUGACGGGGACCCGCACAAGCGGCGGAGCAUGUGGCUUAAUUCGAUGCAACGCGAAGAACCUUACCUGGGCUUGACAUCAGGGGAAGAGCCGCAGAGAUGCGGUGUCCGUAAGGGCCCCUGACAGGUGGUGCAUGGCUGUCGUCAGCUCGUGCCGUGAGGUGUUGGGUUAAGUCCCGCAACGAGCGCAACCCCCGUCUUUAGUUGCCAGCGGGUAAUGUCGGGGACUCUAGAGAGACUGCCGGCGUAGAGCCGGAGGAAGGUGGGGAUGACGUCAAGUCAUCAUGCCCCUUAUGUCCAGGGCUGCACACAUGCUACAAUGCCGGCCACAAUGGGCUGCGACCCUGCAAGGGUGAGCGAAUCCCAAAAAAGUCGGCCAAGUUCGGAUUGGGGUCUGCAACUCGACCCCAUGAAGUCGGAGUCGCUAGUAAUCGCGGAUCAGCAACGCCGCGGUGAAUACGUUCCCGGGUCUUGUACACACCGCCCGUCACACCACGAAAGUUGGCAACACCCGAAGCCGGUGGCCUAACCCGCAAGGGAGGGAGCCGUCGAAGGUGGGGUCGGCGAUUGGGGUGAAGUCGUAACAAGGUAACCGU